rnacentral:misc_RNA from 1 species
AAGUCGUAACAAGGUUUCCGUAGGUGAACCUGCGGAAGGAUCAUUACCGAGUAAGGGUCUUCCAGGCCCGACCUCCAACCCUUUGUUUAACCAACCACGUUGCUUUGGCGGGCCCGCCCUUUGGGGCCGCCGGGGGCCUCACCGCCCCUGGCCCGUGCCCGCCGGUAGCCAUCUUAAAUUCUGAUAACUGUGCCGUCUGAGUAUAGAUAUAAAUCGUUUAAAAACUUUCAACAACGGAUCUCUUGGUUCUG